rnacentral:rRNA from 1 species
CUCCCAUCCGUGUCUAUUGUACCCUGUUGCUUCGGCGGGCCCGCCGCUUGUCGGCCGCCGGGGGGGCGCCUCUGCCCCCCGGGCCCGUGCCCGCCGGAGACCCCAACACGAACACUGUCUGAAAGCGUGCAGUCUGAGUUGAUUGAAUGCAAUCAGUUAAAACUUUCAACAAUGGAUCUCUUGGUUCCGGCAUCGAUGAAGAACGCAGCGAAAUGCGAUAACUAAUGUGAAUUGCAGAAUUCAGUGAAUCAUCGAGUCUUUGAACGCACAUUGCGCCCCCUGGUAUUCCGGGGGGCAUGCCUGUCCGAGCGUCAUUGCUGCCCUCAAGCCCGGCUUGUGUGUUGGGUCGCCGUCCCCCUCUCCGGGGGGACGGGCCCGAAAGGCAGCGGCGGCACCGCGUCCGAUCCUCGAGCGUAUGGGGCUUUGUCACAUGCUCUGUAGGAUUGGCCGGCGCCUGCCGACGUUUUCCAACCAUUCUUUCCAGGUUGACCUCGGA